rnacentral:lncRNA from 1 species
AUGCUCCGGCCCAGCCACUGUCCCUGGGGUUCCCUGGCUGCUCCUGCUGCCCCUCGCUGCUGGCCUCAUCCUCCCAUGCAGCCUCUGAGAGCAGCCCCGGGACUGCAGAAGGGGCCAGGAAUAGCCCGGAGCAUCCGUCGUGGAGAGGACUGCGGGGACCUCUCACAGCGCUGCCACCCUCAGGAUGAAUGCCGAACCUUGUUCCCCCUGGAGCCCCCGGCUCUGGCCUACAGCCCAGUCACGCCACCUGGCUGGCUCAGAGCCCCGAACCUGCAGCCUCCUGGGCCGGGUGCUGGGGAGACAGCGGGGUGGCCUCCCACGGGCCCCCUGCCGUGCAGCACCAGGGAGGUGCGAGCACACGCCACGGCCACACCCCUGCACCUGGUGGCCCUCAGUCCUCAGAAGCCCCGUCCCCCUCCCUUCUGAGACGCUGUGUCAACGAAGGUCCUUACAGAUGGGGCCACAGCCGGGUCCCAGAGGAGCGUGGUGUCACCCUCUCCUCACACAGCAGUGUCCAGCCAGAGCCGGGCUGUGAGGGUGCAGCCCCAGAGGGACCUUCGGAGGAAGGAAACGCUGCCAAAGCAGAAGUUUCUAAGUGAGGGUCUUGAUGCCAGGCCAGGCACCGUGAGCCUGCCACCUGCCUAAGCCGGUCUGUGGGGGGCACAGUCCUUGGUCCAGACCCGACUUGUGGGAAAUGAGCUGCACCCACACUUUCUGGGGCGUAGUCCCCCUCUGGGCUCACCCGAAGAUCAUCUUCUGCCCCACAGUGGCAUCUACUGCCUCUGCCUGUUCCUGGACAACUCACCGCAUGGUCUCCAGACUGAGGUGCAGGUGGCCCAGGCCUCACUCUGAGUCCCCCUGCGAAGCCAAGCAGGGGAACCACCCCUGGGAGAUCAGGUUCUGGGGUGAGCCCCACUUUUUCCCCAGCCCCCACACCUCCUGUGUCCAGAGGAGAGGUCCCCAAGUCCCAGCCCAGUGAGAGGCGGCAGCGAGGCCUCCCUCCCAUCCAUUCUACCAUGGUUCUGUGAGGAGCCAGAAAAAGUUUUCUGGAACUGCCAG